rnacentral:rRNA from 1 species
ACGUAGGGUGCGAGCGUUAAUCGGAAUUACUGGGCGUAAAGCGUGCGCAGGCGGCUCUAUAAGACAGAUGUGAAAUCCCCGGGCUUAACCUGGGAACUGCGUUUGAAACUACAAGGCUAGAGUGUGGCAGAGGGGGGUGGAAUUCCACGUGUAGCAGUGAAAUGCGUAGAGAUGUGGAGGAACACCGAUGGCGAAGGCAGCCCCCUGGGACAUGACUGACGCUCAGGUACGAAAGCGUGGGGAGCAAACAG